AGGACAUAGACGUUGGCGCGCGUCAGCUGACAAAGAGAGAAAGGAAUAAAAGCAUAAAAGAAGGAGUAUAGUAAUACAGAUUAAAGUAUGGUUCCCCAGCAACAGGUGGGGUGGAGCAUGUUCCUCCAGGUGGACUGGGGUUAAUCAAGGGCUGUAACUCCGGACCCUACGAUUGGAUCUGACGGAUUCAUCAU
rnacentral:lncRNA from 1 species